rnacentral:lncRNA from 1 species
UCAUCUUCACAAUCCUUCAAAGAGAGGCUCAUAUCCAGCAACCCCCUCACACUCUCAAACUCUUUCUUUCUCUGAGGCUCUCACCCUCACAAUCCUCUCACAAAUAAAGAAAUACAAUAUCAGUGUGGACGUGGCCCAAACAUUAGGGUGAACCACGAUACAUCUUGUGUUCUUUACUUUCUUGCAGAUUCACGGUCGGAUUUACGUUGUUCCAAGACCCCUCCGGUUUUGUGCAUCAACAAUGUAUUUUAACCAGACAAAAAUGUCAACAUCAUUGUUGAUCCAUCUACAAUAAUGAAAUAAUGGCAUAAGAGGAAAUAAAUAAAAGAGCUUGAUCCAUUAUAGACUUUUCAUACUAAAAAUGUCCUUAUGAUUAAGAUUGAAUAGUGAAAUGACUGUUUCAUUAGAACUCCCAAAAAUUAAUGAAGAAUUGUGGCCAAUUCUCUUGAGUAACCCCAAUCCUCUAUGGUCAUCUACUAAUUGAAAAGUUCAUAUACAAAUUAAGCUCCCCAAAGUUACCUUCCAUCAUAAUCAUUCAUGAAAUGAGGAUUUAGAAGGAUUCCGGGGUAGAUAAAAUGGUUGGGUUGAGGGAUUCAUGUGUUUAUUCAAGUCAACAUAAUGAACUCGAUAUAUUUGGAAUUAAGACCAUGAUAUAUCAUAUAAUAAUACUAAGCAGAAAGAAGAGAAAAGGGCAAUUAAGUAGUUGAGAAAUUGUAUAAUGUUCAAAUUGAAUCAAAUUCUAUAAACCAAAAGAAUUAUUUGAUUAACAAAACCAUUCAGGUCACCUUGGUGGGGUGGGGUGGGGUCGGUGGCUGAGAUGCCAGAAGGAAUGAAGGAUGCAAGGAUGGGUUUCUCAGAAAAAAUGGAGAGUGAGAAAGAAAGCUCGAGCUGCAAAGUGGAGCGAGAGAGAGAGAAAUGGAGGGGUUGAAAAGAAAUCCUAGGGGUAGAGGUAGGAUUUUGUUAUGCUUACCAUCCCUUCUCAAAUCCUACAAAAAUUCUGAUUGAAUGAAAUCCUUUAAAAUCUAUGAAUAUUUGAAUACCUAUAGAUUUGCAUGGACUCUAUAAAAAUCCUUUAAAAUCCUAGUUGAUUACACCAGGAUUCUAGAGUCUUUUAAAAUCUUUUAAUUGACAACCCCUGUAUUUAAGUGGGCUCUUUUAAAAUAUUUUAAAAUCCUUCUAAGUCCUCAUUUGACUACACCCCCUAAUAAUACUCACCUCAUUGAUUUUGUUGUGUGGAGGCGAAAGAUAUGAGACCAAUAAUUUUACAAGUCCAAGUAUGAUAAAUGCAAAAAUCUAAAUAACACAAAGGUUAAUAUUGGUUCUUUGUAAGCCUACAUUUAGUUUUGAGACAUCGGAGAAAUUUCACUAAAUGGAGAUUACUAAAGUGUUUGAGCUAUCACAAUCCAAAUCGAAUGAGUGUUCCUGCAUUGUCAAAGUUAGGAAGAGUAAGAGACUUGGCAGCUCACCAAACUAGUGAUGUUAAAGCCGUGUGGUUUCUCAAAUGAGUAUUUAUCAAAUAUAACCAAAUAUUAGCCCUUAAUUUUGAAACUAUCAUUUUUUAUAAAAACUUUCAUAUAUAUUCAAAAUAUCAAUUAAACAGACACAAAUACCCUUCAACUUUAAAACCAAAUAAAUUAAAAAACCAAAACCCUAUUAGAUGAAGAAUUUAUGACGGCAAAACCUAAGAAUGGAGACUUGUGCAGCCCUAAACGAAGGUCAGUGUCAAUGGUAAAUUUUUUGCAUUUUUCCUCGCCUACGUUUUCUCUUUGUUUUUGUAGUUUCUUCCUUCAGUUGAAUAUUUAUUGAAGAAUGAACUGUCAAUCUUUGUAACGUUAUUUAUCUCAAAUUUCCUUUGGAUUAUAUGUUCUUCGUAUUUAGUUUCCACACCUUGGCAUUAUUAAGGGUGUUGUCCACGUUCGAAUUCUAUUUUGAAGGUUAUCAUUGACUGGGGUGGUUAACCAAGAGAUUUAUUGGUCUUAGAAAGUGCAAAAAGCAUAUUUUUAAGGUUUAUGGAAUAUAAUUCUUUUAGUGUAUGGUAGAACAUUUUGGUUUCUUGUGUCUAAUAGAAGAUUGACAAAUCUAGUAGCAUUUGCCAAUUAGUUACAGGCAAAGCUAAUAGAAAUUCCUCUAGUGCAUAUUGGAAAAAGUAGGGUUUACGGAAUAAUUAUUUUUCUUUCAUUGUGUUUUUAUUCUACUUAAAUUAAUUAUUUUCAAUAUGUAUGUCAUUUUUUUCUUUUCUUAUUGUGUUGCUUAUGUUGAUGCACAAAAUCGGUGAGGACUUUGGUACAACAGAAAGUGUUAAGUUUGUGACCUUCGCUAGAUU